AACGCACAUUGCGCCCUCCGGUAUUCCGGAGGGCAUGCCUGUUCGAGCGUCAUUUCAACCCUCAAGCACUGCUUGGUGUUGGGGCACUGCUCCUCUCGCGGGGAGCAGGCCCUGAAAUUCAGUGGCGAGCUCGCCAGGACCCCGAGCGCAGUAGUUAAACCCUCGCUCUGGAAGGCCCUGGCGGUGCCCUGCCGUUAAACCCCCAACUCUUGAAAAUUUGACCUCGGAUCAGGUAGGAAUACCCGCUGAACUUAA
rnacentral:misc_RNA from 1 species